UCCCUCCCUCCCUCCCUCCCUCCUUUCUUCUUUCCUUCCGAGCCUGGAACUCCCAGACCUUUACCUCUAAAGCGCUGGGAUAAUAAGUACGUGACCCUCCACCCUUGGCAGUUUUCCUGGCAUCUUUUUCCCUCCUUCAUGUGCUUGGGUGAAAUCUAACUGGCAACUUGUGACAUCACUCAGCCCACGAUCUCAUCCUCCUGGCAAGUGGCACCGUGAGCCAACACCGUGAAAUCCGGCAACCAGUGACUUAACUCAGCCCACACCGAGCCAGAGUUCCCUGGCACCCGGGGUCUUCUCGGGCCAGCGCGGGCCAGAGGGAAGUAAGGGCUCCCCGCGCGAGCUGCAGGUCACCGGGCUGUGGCGCCCUGGAUCUCGCGGCCAUCUCCGCAGACGUCCACGGCUCGCGUGUCCAGGCGGGUAGGGACCGUUACACCCUGCUCAGACACCAGCCUCCCCCGUGGGAGCCGGGCCGCAGCCCUCGAGGCGCUCUUCCUGUCCGCCAAUGGGACCGACCGGACUGGACCGCUAAAGGGAAGCUGUCGGCGGGGCUGUCUCCGAAGACCCACAAACAGACCCUAAAUUCAGGCACAGACGCUCGCAGCAGACUGUAGCUUCAACUCCAGGAGAUCUGACCUCCACAGGAACGGUGCCAAGAACUGGUAUGAGGCAUCCAGAUGCUCACAGGGACACAGACGGAGCACAAGGAAGAAAACCAUUUCUGCAGUGUGCUGGAGUAGCCCAAACCGCUUAGCCAGGGGGCCAGCUGCUUCCAGGCCUGGAUGUUGUCCUUCCGUAGCCACUGUCCAAUGAUCAUCUCCAUGUAAAAGAGGAAGAUCCCCACCACCAGCAGCAGGAUGAGGUACAUCAGCACAAAGCUGCCUGCGGAGGGUGGGAUCUUGCUCAGGUAGCUGGGUGCCCCUCAGCCCUCACACUCCUCCCUGGGGGUCUCAACACCCCUUCCUUAACCUCACAGCAUAGGCUCUGGCUUCACCUCCUCCAUUCUGGUGCACAGGUAUGGGAAACACCACAUGAUGCCAAAUGGAUAUCAUAAGGGUGUAAUCAUUUCAGAAUUUGGGUCUAAGGAUAUGAUGCUUUGGAGAGGGUCUUCUUUUGUUUUCACAGAGUAUGAGACCCUGUGGAUUGCUUCUGUCCCGAUAUGGUAUGAUAGAUCACGCCCUCUUGAAAGGUUUCUGUGAACACCCUCAAAAAAUUACUUCACUCAACUGCCGCCUGAGAUGAGCCUGGCACACAGUUUACACUAUGAAAGACCUAAAUACCAGUGCCCCUGUACAGCAGGAAGUAGUUUGGAGAGAAAUAACUACACCCAUCUUCCCAACUAUUUUUUUUAAUGUUCUUUUACAUUUAAAGGGGGAUAUGAUAUAGAUAUGAAUAAUUUGCAUUGGUAUGGAUUUUAAGGUCAAUUUUGUUAUAUGUAUAUGUAUUUCUGUUCUUGACUAAGGUAUGUGAUUGUGUAGUUCAUUUAAAAAUGUAUAAUUAGAAAAUAUAGGUUGUUAAUGGAUAAUCAUAAUAGUCAAGCUUGUAGUCAUGUUAGUUAGAUUUUCUAGAUAUAUAGAGAUAUAUUUCAGUUAGGUAGGCAUUCUUCAUAUCUUUCAAAGACUACAGAAAAUGGCAUUUAAUAUUUUAAUAACUUAAGGCUUUUUAUGACAAUGAGACACGUCUGCUCCUGGCAGCACCAAUCUACUUCAAGAAGAAGAUGGGCAUUGAAGAGGAUCCUUAUGGAGUUUGAUAGCCAUUUGGGCAAGAAACUGUUCUUGCCUGGACUGUUGCAUAAACUGGACACAAAGAACCCGCAGAGAGAGGACUGCUGAACUUGCGUAAAGGUGAGAUGGUCUUUCGGGGUUCCUGCUUCAUGAAAGAGUCUGUGAGAUAUUCUGCAGGACGCAGCAGAUACUGACUGAACUGUCUUUGAAAUUUCCUGCUUCAUGGAAAAGUCUGCUGGAUACUAUGGGCCUGUAGGCCGAAGAUGGAUGCCCCAACGGUACAAAAGAACUUUGGGUGACUAUCCAGACAGCGAGAUGUCUCUUGUCAUUUCUAGAAUUUAGAAGUUGCUUAUUUCUUGUUUGCUUAGUUAAUAUUAUAUCCUUCUGGAGUCUUUGAUGGAGUUAAAGAAUGGAUAGUUAUAGUUUUCCUUAGUUAUGUUAAAAG